CGUUUUUCUAUCCGUUCAUUCGUCAUCAUCACAUCCCCCUUCUACCUUUUGCGCGCCAUUUUUCGAUACGAUCGUGAAGUUGUCGUUAUAAAAUAAUAUGCAAAUUAUUAAUAAUUGUGUGAAACUUAAUGCCAAGUUUAAAGAAGAAAUCAAACAAAUUAUGAGAUUGAAUUGGAAAUGAAUAUGAGAGUGAAAAUCCCUCGACAUGGAAUGACAUUUUUGCAAAGCAUCAGGAACACCCUCGUUUCCGGCAAUUACUGCAAUGCGAUAAAGAUAGAAGGAUUGAUCGUGAAAGAUUAAACGAGCGCCACUGUAGUAAUGGAGAAGACUCCGUUUAACAAGAGCCUUGAACCACGUCGUUAUUUAACGCAAAUGAUCGAUGAUUAUUAUAAGAUCCUUUUAUAUGUAAGAAAAGAGGAAGAGAAAGAAAGGCCGAUAUUUUUAUUAUCGUAGAUUUUCAAUAUACAACGACCGCAAUGGGAUUCGUUCCCAGCAAUACCUUGAUCCAAUUCCGUUCUUAAGGCGGUGAGCUGUUGACGAACGUCAAUGAAAAGCCAUAUUAAGCUAGCAGUAGCUAAGACAGAAGCGCAUGCCAAAAAGGCACUACAGGCCUUAAGAAAUCCCGGACAAGUUUGGCUCCUUCUUCCUCUGCAUUUGCGGCUGCUUCUUGUAGACGUGUUCCAAUAUUCUGAACGUUCGUCACUGCUAUCCGUCAAUAAUUCCUACAAAAUAAAUCAUGAUUUUUAAAAAAGGCAAUAUCAAAGUAAUUCUAACGUAAUG